rnacentral:rRNA from 1 species
CCAAUGCUUCUAAUUUCAUAGCAAGCUCGCUUGCUAUGAAAUAGGCAACCAGUAAUAUAAGCAAGUGUGUGCUAUUUAUAGCGCUAGCCUACAAACCUAUAAUUAUAUUAACUCUAAGAGAAAUUUAAUAAUAAACGAAGUGAAUUGAAAUAUCUUAGUAACUUUAGGAAAAGAAAUCAAAAGAGAUUCUAUGAUUAGCGUGAGCUAAAAUAGACUAGCCUAAAAAGUCAAAUGGUGGAUAAACUGUUUAAAUUAAAUGGGGAACCUUCCUCAAAGGCUAAAUAUAAUAUAUAAGCGAUAGUGGAAAGUACCGUGAGGGAACCAAAACAAAAACAGUGAUUUUAUAAGCAGUUCGGAAAAAUAAAAAAAAAGUUAGAACGUACCUUUUGCAUAAUGGGUCACCAAGUUAACAUUAGAUGCGAGUAGGAGGGAGCAGCCCCGUGCAUACGUAGUUAAACCGAGCGUUAAAAUAACGGUAAGUAUCUAAAGUUAGACCCGAAGCCUGGUGAUUUUACCAUAAUCAGGAUUAUAAAAGUCCGAACGGAAUAUUGUAGCAUAAAUAUCCGAAGAAUUAUGGUAGGUGUAGUGAAAGACAAUACUGACCAGGAUAGCUGGUUUUCUGCGAAACCUAUAACAGUAGGCAAUUUAAGUAUAAUAUCUUAGCAGGUACAGAAUUUAAUCUCAGACAAGACAUAAGGCUUAGCUUGUUAGCAAGUAAAGCUCAUGUUUUAUUUUGUACAAAUUGGGGGAUCAUGAAGAUUUUAUCAGUGAGUAUGUAGACUCGGAAUGGCAAAGAUAUAUCUUAAAUCAUCAGACAUAGAAUGAUAAGGUUGUAUGUCAAAAGGGAAACAGCCCAGAACAAGAGUUAAGGUUCCUAAAUUAUUAGUUGAGUGAAAUUAAGAAGGUUUUUAUUAAAGUCGACAAGGAGAUAGGCUUAGAAGCAGCCAUAAUUUUAUGACCUCGUAACAGAGCGCUUGUUAAGUUUUAAAAGCAUCGAAAAUUUAUCGGAUCUAAACAAUAUACCGAAACCUUGUCCAUAUUAUUUUAUAAUUAAAGCUUAAUUAUAAUUAAAUGGGGUAGCAGAACGUUGAGCUAAAUUAAGAUUUUUAUUUUUUAAAUGAAAUUAUAAUAAUUUAACUCAAGUGAUAAUGGUGACAUGAGUAACUAAAAGAAAAAAUAAAAUUUUUCCGCCUAAAGCUUAUGGAUGUAAUUAAGUAACGGCCUCUAAGUUUAUAUUAUCUAAAGAUUUAAACGAUGAGAUAAUCUUUUGUACUAAGGACGACAUUUUAAGUGAAAAAUGUACUGGAAAAAUAGUACUAAAUUAAUGGCUAUAGCUAAUUAGGGCUAUAAAAAAAAAUUUAUUUUUUUUUUAUAAAGCUCGCUAUAGCUAUAAAUGAAAAGUAACCGUACCUAGAAUCUGAAACAAGUAAGCUAGUAGAGAAUACGAAGGCGUAAAUGAGCUAACAAUCAUAAAGGAACUCGGCAAAUUGACUACCGUAACUUCGGGAUAAGGAGAGCUCAUUAUUCUUGAUUAAUAUCAGGUAAAGAGGAAGAAGCAUGAAAUAGUGUUGUACGACUGUUUAAUUAAAACACAGCACUUUGCUGAAAGAUUAAAAAUCUAAGUAUAGAGUGUGAUGUCUGCCCGGUGCCGGCUGGUUAACAGAUAUAAUUAAAUAUACUAAUAUUUGAUGUAGACGGAAACCCCGGUUAAAGGCGGCCUUAACGUGAGGGUCCUAAGGUAGCGAAAUGCCUUGGCCGUUAAAUGCGGUCUUGCAUGAAUGAUGUAACGAUACAACAGCUGUCUCUAUGAUUGACUCAGUGAAAUUGGAAUAGCUGUGCAGAUACAGUUUACCUCUAGUUAGACGAGAAGACCCUAUGCAGCUUUACUGUCACUAAUUAUAGAGUAUGAUAAACAAUUUUCAGAUUAUAAGGUAAUUGACGGCUAGCUUGUUCAGCAAGCUAGCUCUAUGACAAUGAGAAUCCUUUAUUUUUUUUUCAUAUGAAUGAAUUGGUUUAGGAUUAUGAGUAGGUAGCUGCUUCUGCUACUUGGCGCAAGCAUUGCUUGCGUCAAGUGUCUGAAGUAUGCAUUCCAGCUCAUGCAUAGUAAAUCAACCUAAUUCAGCUUAUUUUCCUUUCUGCCAUAAGCGCAUAAUGAUAGAUUUAACUUAAAUUUUGAUUUAUGCCGAGCCCCUCCGGGGCUACUGCAGAAAUAGAUAAGUACCCUUGGCUAAGGAACUAUCGCUAGGGGACAGUUUAUGUGGGGCACAGACCCUGUAAAGAGUAAACAGGAGUGUCUAAUAAUUUAUAAUUAUUUUGUUUGCGAUUUAAGAUAGUGAAACUAUUUUUAAUCAUAUAAAAUUAUUUAUAUGUACAUUCGUUGUAUAUAUAUUUAAAAAAAGGUAGGAUUUUCACUAUAUAGAAAUUAGAGAUAAUAAAAAUAUUAAGAAUAUACCUUUCAGGUAACACUAAUAUUUUUUAGCUAUUAAGACAGGCUAUCAAGCUAGGCUCUAAUAGUUAUGUAUUAAUUAUCUAAAAAGCUCAACGGCUAAAUCUUGCCUUACUGUUUGAUUAUCAACAAAUCUUACAGUUGCGUAAGCAGGGCAUAGGAUCACAAGAUGCAACAAGGAAAGAUCUUGGAUUAUUGGAAAAGCUACGCUAGGGAUGUUUGUCCUUUAAUAUUUUAUUACACAGCGGCUUUAGUUA